UCUUGAAAGUCGUAGAGGACGUUAAACCGAGUCCGUGGACAUGUGAUACACCUAAAUCGGAGUUCGUAUGCAAAAGUUAUGAGUGAAUUACGAAAAUUACUGUUCAUGGUAAAUUUUUGAUAUAUAUGGAAAGUUACCCGGGUAGGUUUCCAAAACCGGAAACCCACCCCUCUUUCUCUCUCCUCUCCCCCGACUCUCCCCCUUUCUCCUUCGGGUUUUCUUCCUCCCUCCGAUUCCUCACAUUCCGGCCACCAUCCGGCGUGCAACCGGUCACCACAGGGGCGCCACAACCCGCUCGUGAUACCAGUGACCUGGGAUUGGGGAGUUUUGGCCGUGAAAGCCCGGAUCGAAGCAAGAAGUGCUCCGGUUGCAGUUUUGGGAUUUUGCCGAUUCCCGGCCAUUCCGGCCACCUCCGGCCACCAUAUUCCCAUCGAAGGGUUCUUGGAGCUUCGGGGCUUUCCUUCACCGGCUUGAUUCGACCACGUCGAGGUAAAAUUGGUUGAUGUUGUAGUUGAGAAGUUGGUUGGGCUUGUUGUAUAGAUGCUAGUGCCGGAGUUUGGUGGUCAUCGGAGGAGGUCGCCGCCGGCGCGUGGUCCCCACGCGCCGCCACUGUGGGUAGCGCGUGGAGGCGCGUAGAGCAGUGUUUUAAUUCCGGUUUUUAGCCCAUUAAAUCCUAUUAAUUGUGUAGAGCUUGUAUGUGAAAUUUGGUAAUUUUUGGAGAAACUUAGAAUUAUAUAUGGAUUUUGAAAUUUAAGGUUUCGAUUAUCGAAUUACGAGAAUCCGACCGUCGGAUAUCUCUCGGUUCUGCCUUGGAACCUUUAAAUUAACGAAUUGGUAUUAGUGGUAUAAUUUGGGCUAAAUCCUAGGAGAAUGGAAGAUGUAAUUAUGAGGAAUUGAUUUUAAGAAUCGUAUUAAAUUGUUGAAGAAUUAAUCACGGAGUAUAAUUAUGUACAGGACGACGUACCGAGCUAUUGCUCGAUAACGGAACACGAAUGCGUGAUCGUCGGAAUAGUACUUUUGCAGGCGAAUUAGUGGAGGUCGGGCGUACAUGACAUUUGAGGCAUAAUUGUCACCACUUCCGCAUUGUAGGAUCCCUUGAUCAUUUACUCUACUUUUUUAUUUCCUUGUGAAUUAGUAUUGCUCUGAUAACCUUUGGGAUUUGUAUUGUUAAGUUGAGUUUUGUGUUUUGCGAGUUGGGGAAUGUUGUUUGGGGGAGCAGGGUGGCUCCAGGAGAAUAAGGAUGGGUGAUUUAGAAGUGUAAAUUUUCUUUCUACAGGUUUUGGGUUGUCCACUUUAGGGGAAGUUCUGCCAAAUUUUUGGCAAAAUUUCUUCUAAGGUGGG